CAACGGCAGUUUAGUGUUGCUCCAACUCGAAAUAGUUGUGGCUUUAGGCAAAAGUAAAUAGUUUUAAUUAUUGCCAGCAGGCAUUUACACCUAAUAUAAAUAAAUAUUGUCAGCUCCAUUAGCAUAGAGCGAAAGCAAACUGUGUGAAUCGGCCAACUUAAAGUGUUUAAGGAUUUUCGAAACCUCAAAACCGAAGGGAACAUAGAAUGACUAAAGACUCUUUUGUUGAAUGGAAACAUUUUGCACUAGUGAAUAUUAUUAAAAUAUAAAAGGAGCAUGAAUUUUUCGAAACUAUGAACGAUUUGUGUGUUCAAAGUGCAAUUUUCGUGAAAAUCCAGCGAAUUUAUAAAAGCAUAUGUUUGUAAGAAAUCACUAAAAUUUGAAAAAUGGAAAACUAUUUCGAAAAUGUAAAGGAUGUUGCACCUUCGGAAAUGUUUUGCUACAGUGGCUUGCAUAUGACGGUGGAUACACUGAAAGGAAAUAGAUAACAAUUGGACGGAAGUCAAUAUUUAAUGGAAAAAGGCUACAAUAUUGCGCAAUCACCUCACGUUGACCCAUCCAUUACUUUAAGUAUGCUUACAACAUAAUUCACAUUCCUAAAGCAAUCGCUAAGCUGAAGUG